UACGUAGGGGGCAAGCGUUGUCCGGAUUUAUUGGGCGUAAAGAGCGUGUAGGCGGCCUGACAGGUCUGCUGUGAAAACUCGAGGCUCAACCUCGAGAUGUCGGCGGAAACCGUCUGGCUAGAGUCCGGAAGAGGAGAGUGGAAUUCCCGGUGUAGCGGUGGAAUGCGCAGAUAUCAGGAGGAACACCGGUGGCGAAGGCGGGUCUCUGGGCAGUAACUGACGCUGAGGAGCGAAAGCGUGGGGAGCGAACAGG
rnacentral:rRNA from 1 species